AGAGUUUGAUCAUGGCUCAGAACGAACGCUGGCGGCAGGCUUAACACAUGCAAGUCGAACGCACCGCAAGGUGAGUGGCAGACGGGUGAGUAACGCGUGGGAGCCUUCCCUGUGGUACGGAAUAACUUCGGGAAACCGAAGCUAAUACCGUAUAUCCCCCUCCGGGGGAAAGAUUUAUCGCCAUAGGAUGGGCCCGCGUUGGAUUAGCUAGUUGGUGAGGUAAAGGCUUACCAAGGCGACGAUCCAUAGCUGGUCUGAGAGGAUGAUCAGCCACAUUGGGACUGAGACACGGCCCAAACUCCUACGGGAGGCAGCAGUGGGGAAUAUUGGACAAUGGGCGCAAGCCUGAUCCAGCCAUGCCGCGUGAGUGAAGAAGGCCUUAGGGUUGUAAAGCUCUUUCGCUAGGGACGAUAAUGACGGUACCUAGAUAAGAAGCCCCGGCUAACUUCGUGCCAGCAGCCGCGGUAAUACGAAGGGGGCUAGCGUUGUUCGGAAUCACUGGGCGUAAAGCGCACGCAGGCGGAUAAAUAAGUCAGGGGUGAAAUCCCGGGGCUCAACCUCGGAAUUGCCUUUGAUACUGUUUAUCUCGAGUUCAGGAGAGGUUGGCGGAAUUCCUAGUGUAGAGGUGAAAUUCGUAGAUAUUAGGAAGAACACCAGUGGCGAAGGCGGCCAACUGGCCCGAUACUGACGCUCAUGUGCGAAAGCGUGGGGAGCAAACAGGAUUAGAUACCCUAGUAGUCC
rnacentral:rRNA from 1 species